GCCAGAUUUGUGUCCCUAACAUUUUUUUUUCCUAGGUGAAAAACAGAUUAAACUGCAUCUUUUGAAUAAAUAGUAUAUAGGAAAUGGGGAAAAGUGUGACGUUGAAUAUAGCAACACUAAAAAGUGACUCUGCUUUAGGAGGGGAUCGGACUGCAUGAGCUCCAGAUGUCCCUUCCAACCCCAACCGUUCUGUGAUUCUGUGACCUCCCCUGGGCGCUCUGUUCCUCUCCAGACAGCCUAUGCACCCGUGUGAGAGAAUUUGGCCAACAUGAGACCAAACAGGGAAGAAUUUACAACAGAAAAGUAAUGCAGAUGGCUGAGAACCACGUGUCAAGCGUUCUCCAGGUGCAGAGAGGAUGCUGUCAUGUUGGGUACUGCAGCCCUGAUUCUGGAAGAUGGAGGAUCACUAGCUUUGGUGUUCUUGGAAACAGAGAAGAAAAGCAAUUCGGAAAGGGAAAAGAAGUCUCCAGAAGAUCCAGUUUUCAUUUUUAAACCAAAUAGAGGCUUCAUUAUUCUGAUGCCAUGCAAGUUCCAAAGAAAAAAAUGCCUGUCCUGAAAUCUUUGUGAACAGACAUAAGGAAAGGGGUAUGGGCGCAUCACCUGAACAAAUAAAUACACAGAAGAAUGGGUCACACUUUGUUAUACAUGAAGUGUUCAUCCACAACCCUGGACAUGAAACAGCUUUUUUAUUUGAGGUGUUUUGGUGCCUCACAGAAGAUGGUCCCUCUCAGCUGGAGAAACACCAGGAUCUUUCUUCUUCAUACAGGCAGCCUCUAGAAUAAUGUGUGUAUGGAGUGGGCCAGACACGUGCCUCGUCUUGGAAUGACAGCGAGCAGUAAAAGUCAACAAGGCUGGGAAAGACACCUGAGAAAAUGCAACUCCACCAUCUGUCUUCGCUUCACUCGUGUGAAAUUGCUUUUAGACAACUUAAAGAACUACAGCAUCGUAUGAGAUGUAAAAUGUGGGGAGGAAACCUGGUCAAAACCGAUUCACAAGCCAUUGCAAUGUGCUGCAAUCCUUGUGGAAAACAGCAGUCUUCCAAUACAAAGCAGUAUAGGAUUUAUUGCUAUUUCAAGCACAGUUCUGUCCCAUUUGAACUGAAUAUGAACAUUGCCAUGCCACUCGCGACUCAGUCUGUGCUUCAGCAUUUUUUAUUUUAUUCUGGCUUGCUUGUGCUAUUUCUUUGUACUUAGCAUUAUAUAUGUGUCCCUUUUUCUAUAUUUUAUGAUUUUCUUUUAGAUUUUCAGAUUGUUAAAGAGUUCUUGAUGGAACCAUAUUAAUUUUUUAUGUACUUCUAAUCUUUCCUCCCUGUUAGGAUAAUUUGCUGUUGUGCCUUUAUCUCUUGCAUUUCUUUUUUCCUUAUCACUUCUCAGAUACUUGCAUUUCCCUGAGCUAUUUGAAGUCCAUUACCCUUAUUUUGUUAUUUGCAAUUUAAAGGAAGAAUGGAAGACUUAUCAUUUUUAUGAUCUUUUUCUCUUGAAUUAACUUCCACUUUAAGUUUCUCAACCACUUCCUCCUACAGAAUUUGAAUUAAAUCUAUAAUAGCUAUUUUCUGUGUAAUUUCCUCCACUUCAUAAAAGAAAAAAAGCAGUCUCUAGCACAUCUAAAGAAUUGAAAAGACAAUCUAUGUCCUGCCCUACUGCUUUUUCAAACAGAUCCUCAGAUAGUUGUAUUCCCAUCUAACCACUAGGUCCUGCCAUGUAGACCUUUUCCCUUGGAUACCUACAACAGUUGCUCUAUUGAAAAAGCGUCCUGAUCAGAAAAUCUUUGCUUUAAACCUUAUAGCAGCCUUAUAAUACUCAAAGAGGGCCUAUAGGAAAGAUGGGGAAAGGCUCUUUAUUAAGGACCGCAGGGAUAGGAUGAGGGGGAAUAGUUUUAGCCUUAAAGAAGACAUUUAGAUGAGAUAUUAGGAAGAAAUUUUUUACUGGGAGGCUGGUCACCCAGGUCUCCCAGGGAAAUCGCGGCUGCCCCAUCCCUGGAGGUGUCCAAGGCCAGGUUGGAUGGAGCUUGGAGCAAACUGAUCCAGUAGGAGGUGUCCCUGCCCAUGGCAGGGGUUGGAACUGGAUGGGCUUUGAGGUUCCUUCCAACCCAAACCAUUCUAUGAUUCUAUGAUAAACCUGUCACUGUGUGCACUUUCUUCUUUUUCUGUCCCAUAUUUCAACUAGUAUUUCACGUAUCUUCCUUUGACAUUUUCCUCGGGACAAGUAAAUAGGCCCUACACGAGGAACAACAUCUGACUCUUCCUACCCUUCCUACACCUAUUCUUCUAGAAUUUGCUCUUCCCUUCCAUAACUAUGUCCCAGCACGAUCCUGGUCUUUAUCCCUUGAUGAGGGCACAGAUCUCAGCAUCUCUCCUCGUAGCUUCUUCACUCACAUCAUACUGGCAGGAACUCCAGUGCAAGUCCACAAACAGGCCAGGCCAGAUGCAAAGACGUUUUGCUCUUUUGUGACAAUACCCAUAUGCCGAAGUAUAUGUAAAACUUGUUACCUCAGGAAAAUAAGGUGCUUCUCAACAAUGGUUAGUUCUAUCAUUAUUUCCAAAUGCAGAUAUGGAAGGUACUACUUUAUAUCCUCAUGAAAAUUAAUGUCUUCAGCUAAUUAAGUAAUUGCUUGUGUGCUUGUCAAAAUAUUAUAUUUAUACAUGAAAAUUACUUCUACAAGUUACUGAAAAUAAUUUCAAGGAAUUAAUACAAUAUGCCAGUUAUAUUCUUGGCAUGUAAUGGCUGUUUUGACAUUAAUACUGAUUCAAAACUUGAUUUACUCAAUUCUUUUUUGACACCUAUAUAGUAGACAAGACAGGGAUCAAUGUAUGUAUAGCCUCUCAUUUUUGCCAAUUUUAUGCAAAUCCAAGGGCAAAAGAGAGCAUAAUUUUAUUCUAUUAUUCCACUAUAGGUCAUACAAUUUUUGUUUCAUUAUCCUUCUACUUUUUGCAAGUAUCACUUCACAAACUUUAACAGUACAACUGCUCAAGUACUAACAGACUAAAUAAAGAAGUAUUUUGUUUUUUAAAUACAUAAAAGGGAAUGAACAGAAAAAUUCACUAGGGUCCAAGAGUCGUAACUGGAAAGGAAAAUGCAAUUUCAGGAAAAGCAAAUGAUUCCGUUACAGAGUUCAAACAAAAUAUUGAGAAAUUAAGAGUAAGAGAGGUUACAACAGUAGCCAUUAAUAACAGUUUUUAAGAAGAAGAGUAAGAAAUCAACAUAAGAUCAUACUUAAAAUAGAAUAACUAACAUUAGGCAGUACCAUUCCAAAGGAACUGAACUGUGAUUUAAAUAUAAAGAUGGAAAUUGUAUUAAUCAAAAUAGUGAAUGUACUGGUGAUUUAGCUUACCCCACAUUUUACUGUUUAGGGUUUUUUUUUUUCCCAAAGAGAUGAAAUUUGUGAGCCUGAAAAUAUGGACUGAGAAGUCACGCUUUAGCAGCCUUCGAAGGAAUUGUUGUAGGACUUACAAAGCUCUUGGGUGAAGUAUAAUGUGAUGAGGAAAAAACAGUAACCCACUAAUAAUAAAUGCAGUCUUCGUAAGUCUUGCAAGGAAAAAAUAGUGGAUAAGAGAGAAAUGGACCUAGUGGUUUAUUUUGAUUUUCAAAAUCUUUUAGCAAGGCUUUUUUGACAUCAUUCAGCGUUAUCCAGAAAAAUGUGGGAACCUCAGCAUUUUGCUGAAACUUAGGAAUAGAAUGACCAAAUACAGAAAUAAAAGCAGCAGUGGUAUGAAUCCCAAAGAUUAUUUCCUAAUUUAGAAAAGAACGAGAGAAAAUAACUCAAAGUAAAUGCUUUCUCAGCUAGAAAAAGUCUAACAGCCAUGCCCCUUUGGGAUCAUUAAGGGUACUGGAUAAAUUCAGUAUACCUACUAAUGAUGUGUAAGAAAGGUUGAAUUGAGAGAUGGAGCUUUGCUGACAAGGAAAAAAUGCCUGAGCUUAGUCAAGAUUAAGCAGGAUUGUGAAAAACUCCAGAAGGAAUAGCAGUGAAAAAGAAAUGCGGCAGAACGGAUGCCGAGAAAAAUAUUCAGCAGAAGGGACAUUUGCACUGGAAAAUGUCAGUGUUUUCCAGAUAAUUUGUAACAUAUUGUAGCAUGGAUCAAGGUUUCAGCACAGCACACAAUUACACAUCUAGUCAGUAGAAAGACAUCUGAAAACCUUUUAUUUUUUUAAAAAAAAAUCAAAGCAUCAUCCUGAGAGCAAAGCUCAAUGUCAGCAGACUCAUUCCGUCAUAGAUGGAAAGGCUAUCAGGAAUAACUUGGCUAUUUAAUUUUUUUGCAUCUCUACAGAAAGUACGCAUAAAAAAAAUCAUAAUUUGAUUUUAUUUUCUGGUUCAGUGGACUUUUAUUUGGAAGCAGACAGGUGUUUCAAAUAAUGACAAUGUCACUGUCAGUGGUGAUAGAACUUAGUUUUGUCUGGUACCUCCAUUUUCCUGAAGUUUCUUUUGGUUUCAAGUGGACCUGAAGCAAACCUGUAAUUUACCCCAUUAUUCUUGAUCUAAAGUCCUCCGUUUUCAAAUCUGUGUAAAAAUGCAAUCACUUUUUUUCCCUUGAUGAAAAAAAUUGGCAAAAGGAACAAACAUUUCAGUAAAAGUCUGACAUUUUCUUUGUAGAACAAAUUUUGCACUUUGGCGUAUGGAAAAAUAUAGAACCGACCCUAAUUUUUUUUGUCCUGAUAAUGGCUUUUGAUAAAAUAUCAUAAAUAUUGAUUUCUCAGUCCUCUGUUUAGCAGUUCUUUCUGAGUUUGGUAAGCUUCCUACAGUGUUUACAUUCUUUAUUGUAAGGUACUUUGCUCACCAAUACUUACAGGAGAUGACAAUAACAAAGUGACUUACUUCUGUAGCAAAAUACACACAUGGGUGUUAAUAAAAGGUAAGAGUUUCUGGCAAGGUUUCAUUUUAGAAGGGUGCCAGUGAAUUUUCUGUGAACUUCAGUUCUUUCUAAUUUCUUUUAAAACAGAUAAAAACUAGUCAAGGGAAGACUUAUAAAUUUAAUUGUAUAAAAUUGAUGCUUCUCUGGACGUGACUUACCGGAUAAGGCAAACAUGAACAGAAAAUUGUUAAUGUGUUAUUCUGUUAGCACUAGAAUCUGCUGAGUAGGGAUAAAUUUGUUUUACCUCUUUGGCACAGGCUGCCCAGGGAAGUGGUGGAGCCACCAUCCCUGGAGGCAUUUAAAAGAUGUGUAGCAGUGGCAUUUCGGGAUGCAGUUUAGUAAUCUUAGAGGUCUUUUCCAGCUUUAAUGUUUCUAUCAUUCUAUAAUGUCAAAAAGGGUUAUACGGAAUGGUUAGGGUGACUCAGUGUCACUCAGUGAAAAAUCAGCAGAGGAUUUAGGAAAAAAAGAACCCUUCUGUUGCCCUCCAUCCAAAGUGUUGUGUGUAUAUUUGGAAGGAAAAGGGAAAGCCUCGAGUCAAGUGACACUUGCAAGCUUCAGCAAGAAGCCUGUGCGGUGCAUACCAUAAGAUCUGUCGGCUGCUCUGAUGUGUUAAGCUAAAACAGCUCUUGAAACUGUAUCUGAUCACUCUGCAGCUAUUACCUCCGCUACAGUACUCUACAUGUUAGUUUUACCAAUAUGUCGUAAGGCCAACACAGAUCUAUAUAUCCCUGCCCAGAAGCAGGGCAGAGCUUGCCCCCUUUUACUUGGUGAGUCUGAUAAUAUCUGUCCCAAGGAGAAGGGAAAGGGCAUAGAAAACAUUUAUUUCUCUUAACGUGCUUGUAAAGAGGUCAACCACAAAGGUAAUCGUUUUUUUUCCCAUCUCCUGUUCAGCUGGUUAUACUGUUCUUCUCAAUAUCACUGCAAAAAUACAUCUGCAGUAGAUACUGUAAAUAGUAUUAAGCAUCCUUAAAGAAAGAUGUUGGCUGCAGCAAGGCUUGAUUGAUAUUAGCCUGGUGGAGAGGGCCAGCAGAGCAGGGAGGGGGUGGUGCGUGAAGGAGAGGAUGGAUUCUGCUAUAUCUUGUCCUCGAGGUUUUGCAGAAAUCCUGAGCAACUGAAGAAGUCUGUGCUCGAGGGCUGUUUCCCUUUACCCAUUCCAUCCUGCCUCACAACAGCAACCAUAUAGAUACGUAAACAUACUUUAGGCUGUUUUGCUGGAUGUACACAAACAUAUCCGUGUUUUACUCCUUGUAUACUAGAACUUAGGUUUUGAUAGUAAUAGCUGAGAAGCCUUUAUACUUGUUUGUUCUAUUUUGCUUUCCUAUUUUUUUUUUUUAAUUCACUAACUGAAAACUUUUGAUAAGUUAUUCAAAUUCAAAAGUUGUAAAUUCUACCCAAGAUGCUUUAGUACAUUAGUCCUUUAAAAGUGUAAAUGAUUUCUGUGCCAAGAACUGGAAAGAUGAAAGGUGUAAAAUGUCACAAUUCCAAGAAAAGUGGAACUUUGAGAUAUGCAUGUAACGAUCAAAGGAUUGACAGAUCUGACUUCUUUCAGCCAGAUCUGUUAACUCCAUCUGACACCAAAAAAAUCCCAUCAAAUCAGCAUAGAAGAGAACCAAUAUUGGCAUUUACACAUCAUUCAUUUCCUAGAAUUAUGAAAUAUCUACUGCGUUGAUGCUGAGAUAAAGCAGCCAAAAGCUUCCUUCUUUGUAGCCUGUUACAUUUAGCCAGGAGAUAGCUGCCCAAUGCUUCCCGCACACUGUUCCAAAUUUAGAAACCUUUACAGUUGUGUUUAGGUUUUUAGUUACGAUUGUUUAUGCAGUAACAUUGCUGUCAUACUAUUUUCUGCACCUCUUAUAACAAGCCAAGUCCUUUCCUGGUGGACUGUUUGUGUUUUUCUUCCAGCUUCACAGAAUCAUCUAAAAAAGCUGUUCUAAGUUUGCCCUAUGCAAA